AAAAACGGUAUUUCCGAAUCAAACUGUCUAAAUAAAUGUAAAAAUAUAUAUAAAAGCGGGAAACUUCGAAUGAAAUAGAAAGUGAGUUAGAUUAGACCACUCCACUCCUUUCUCACCCGCAGCCAUUACUAGUUACUUUUUUUUGUUAGGUAUCACAGCAAGCCGGUUCUCUUUCUCAUUAUCUAGGGUUUGAAAUCUCAGGAUACACACAAGGAUGAAGGAGUAACCAUGGACGAUGUUAGGGCCAGCUCUGCUUGGGUUGCCAGUCACUCUUCUCAUGUCGUUGUCGACUCUUCAGGGAUAGAAAAAGUGGUGCAGACAAUCGAUUCGAUUCCGAAAAAGAAAUGGGAUUUUGAAGGGAUUCACUAUUUUGAUAAUGGGCCUCUCACUGUCCAGUAUCUCUUGGCUUAGCUGCAAUCCCAUCCUUGUCCACUAUUCUUAUUGGUCCACUAAGAUAAUGAGC